rnacentral:tRNA from 1 species
AAAACUUUAAGUUAAAUAAACUAGUAACCUUCAAAGUUUCCAAUAAGAGCUUCUUAAGUUUUA